rnacentral:lncRNA from 1 species
UGCGGCCGGUGUCGGCGGUGUGAGAUCUGACGGCCUCGAGGAGGCGGAGGGCGCCGGUGGCGACGACGUCGGCGGUGUAAUCGGGGAUCUCGAAGGAGACGGCGACGUGGGACUGCGCGGCGAGGUUGUAGACCUCGUCGGGCUUGAUCACGUCGAGCCAGCGGCGGAGCGAGGAGGCGUCGGUGAGAUCGGCGUAGUGGAGCUUCAUCAGAGCCUUGUCAGCGUUGUGCGGGUCGAUGUAGAUGUGGUUGAUCCGCUGGGUGUUGAAGUUGGUAAGGUUGCUGCUGAGCAUCCAUGUAACCAGCAUCAACAAGCACUUUCUCCCUCUUAGCAAGCUCAAGGUCUUCAUCAACCAUCAUCUUCACAAGCUUCUCAAACCCCACUUUGGGUUUCCACCCCAACACUUGCUUGGCCUUGCUAGCAUCUCCUUUCAAGUUAUCCACUUCAGACGGCCUAAAGUACCUCUUAUCAAUCUCCACGUGAUCCUUCCAGUUCAGCCCCAAGUACCCAAACGAAACCUCGAGAAACUCCUCAACCGUAUGCGACUCCUCCGUCGCCACAACGUAAUCAUCCGCCGCCUCCUGCUGCAGCAUCAUCCACAUCGCCUCCACGUAGUCCCCCGCGAACCCCCAGUCCCUCGAAGCUUGUAGGUUCCCGAGGAAGAGCUUCCUCUGCAAACCCACCUUGAUCCUCCCCAAGGCUCUCGUGAUCUUCCUCGUCACGAAGUUCUCUCCGCGGCGAGGCGACUCGUGGUUGAACAAGAUCCCGUUGCACGCGAAGAGACCGUACGCCUCACGGUAGUUAACAGUGUACCAAUGCGCAGCGACUUUGGACGCUGCGUAAGGGGACCUGGGGUGAAACGGCGUCGUUUCGGACUGAGGAGGCGGAGUCGCUCCGAACAUCUCGGAGGAUCCCGCCUGGUAGUACUUGACGGUGCGGCCGGUGUCGGCGGUGUGAGAUCUGACGGCCUCGAGGAGGCGGAGGGCGCCGGUGGCGACGACGUCGGCGGUGUAAUCGGGGAUCUCGAAGGAGACGGCGACGUGGGACUGCGCGGCGAGGUUGUAGACCUCGUCGGGCUUGAUCACGUCGAGCCAGCGGCGGAGCGAGGAGGCGUCGGUGAGAUCGGCGUAGUGGAGCUUCAUCAGAGCCUUGUCAGCGUUGUGCGGGUCGAUGUAGAUGUG